AGAAAUACCAGGUAGCAACAUAGGCGAAAAUUACAACAAAGCAACUUUCUUGGAAACUUGAUAUGUCAAAUUUGUAAGCAAAGCGAAUUUACUUGACAUAUAAAAUUUGAGGCAAAUUGGUUUGUACCAAUCAGAAAAUUACAUUUUGAAAUACAAACAAUUUAGAUUUUAGAAGAAGAUUUUAGUUAACUCUAUCAACGUUGUGCGUAUCAUUUUUAUCAUAGUAAGCAUUCUCCAAAUCGGAUAUAAAUGUGGGAAAAAUGUUCUUCGACUUCCCCAGAUCAGUUAUCAAUGGUCGUUGUGAUGUGUGUUGUGACAUUUGGUUUCGGCUUUGUGACAAAAUUCUGGCCGCCCGGUCAAAAAACAAAUCCAAUUGCGGGUAGUUACCCUCCAAAUAAGGCAUAUUUGGUGCAAUCACAAUUAUGGCAAACUACUCAACUCGAUUUGUGCGAUUCACAUAAACAUUCAAAGAAAGUCUUUGGAGAUUGUUGAAUUCUAUCUGGGAUUCUAGGGUCUUUGUAUUGGUAGAAACAGGCAAUGUCUUAAAAUGUGGUGUAUACAUUGAUGCUUGUGUGUGGCUAAUGGAUAUGGAAUCCUAAAUAAAAUCGUACUUCGAUUUCA